CCCUCUCAAUUUCCUUCUUUCUUCCUUCUCCUUGAGUUGCAUUUGAAAGUGAAUAAUGGGUUCCCAUUAUUUGGCACAAGCCCUAGCAAUGGUGCUAAUUGCUUCAAUGCUGGCAGUCGGCUUAGCCAAUAAGGAUUGGCAACAUGGCAACUACACUGGUUGGGGUUUCAACCGUGGCCUCAACGAGACCAAAGGACCCAACAAAAUCACUGUUGGUGGGUCGGAAAACUGGCAUUACGGAUUUGACUACAAACAAUGGGCUUGGAAGAAUGGCCCAUUUUACAUCAAUGACACUCUAGGUGAGUUUGCAACCUUUUGUUCUUCUUUAGCUUCCUUAAGCCUUUUGGGGAAAAGAAAAAACCUUGUUUCUGUUCAAGAUGUUUACGUUCACUAGCAUGCUGCAUGCUCUAAUUGUACAUAUGAAAUGUUGCCUUCUAUUGUCAGUUGGAUAUCUAUAAGUUGCUCUGUCACAAAAAUUAUCCGUAUAUUGACAAUCUGAUAACAUAACAUAUAUUACAUAUGAAACUAUCAAGCAACAUAAAGUUUCUUUAAUUAAAUUUGUCGUAAAUACAUUAAUUCUACUAUGCAAUAUGCUUCACUAUAAGCAACCCUUUUUACAUGAUGAACAUGCAGUUUUCAAGUAUGAUCCACCAAAUGACACCACACGUCCUCAUAGCGUGUACUUGUUCCAAAACCCUUGGAGCUUCAUGAAGUGUGAUUUAAGCCAAGCCAAGAUGGUGGGAAAACCGACACAAGGAGGUGGAAAGGGCUUUGAGUUUGUGCUCAAGAGGUGGCAACCUUACUACUUCGCUUGCGGCGAGCACAACGGCCUCCAUUGUAAGGACGGACUGAUGAGGUUCGUCGUCUUCCCAAUGUUUCGCGGCUGGAAUUACUGAUCAUCUGGCAAUGGAGCCUUUCUAAUUUUCAUUAUUAUUAAUUACUUUUUGGGCAAAUAACAAGACUUGGUGUGCGAGUUUUGAGAGAGUAUAGUUGAUAAUUUCAUAAUUAUUAACUCUUGUUAAUUAACUAGUCUAAGAUAUAAUACAUUAUAUGAGACGUGU
rnacentral:lncRNA from 1 species